rnacentral:rRNA from 1 species
AGUCGAACGCGAAAGCCCCGCAAGGGAUAAGUAGAGUGGCAAACGGGUGAGUAACGCGUGGGUGACCUGCCUUCGAGUGGGGGAUAACGUUUCGAAAGGGACGCUAAUACCGCAUAACAUGCCGCCUUUCAAGAGGUGGACAUCAAAGCCUGGGACCGCAAGGCCAGGCGCUUGUAGAGGGGCCCGCGUCUGAUUAGCUAGUUGGUGGGGUAAUGGCUCACCAAGGCAUCGAUCAGUAUCCGGCCUGAGAGGGCGGACGGACACACUGGGACUGAGACACGGCCCAGACUCCUACGGGAGGCAGCAGUGGGGAAUUGUUCGCAAUGGGCGCAAGCCUGACGACGCAACGCCGCGUGGAGGAUGAAGAUUUUCGGAUCGUAAACUCCUUUCGAUCGAGACGAAUGAUCCUUGGGUUAAUAGCCUGAGGGAGUGACGGUACCGAGAGAAGAAGCCCCGGCUAACUCCGUGCCAGCAGCCGCGGUAAUACGGGGGGGGCAAGCGUUGUUCGGAAUUACUGGGCGUAAAGGGCUCGUAGGUUGCCAACUAAGUCAUACGUGAAAUCCCUCGGCUUAACCGGGGAACUGCGUCUGAUACUGGAUGGCUUGAGUUUGGGAGAGGGAUGCGGAAUUCCAGGUGUAGCGGUGAAAUGCGUAGAUAUCUGGAGGAACACCGGUGGCGGAGGCGGCAUCCUGGACCAAUA